GAUGAACGCUAGCUACAGGCUUAACACAUGCAAGUCGAGGGGUAACAAGAGAAAAGCUUGCUUUUCUUGUUGACGACCGGCGCACGGGUGAGUAACGCGUAUCCAACCUGCCUAUAACUAGGGAAUAACCUUGCGAAAGUAAGACUAAUACCCUAUGAUUUCCUUUGAUGACAUCAGAUUAGGAAUAAAGAUUUAUCGGUUAUAGAUGGGGAUGCGUCUGAUUAGCUUGUUGGCGGGGUAACGGCCCACCAAGGCAACGAUCAGUAGGGGUUCUGAGAGGAAGGUCCCCGACAUGUGAACUGAGACACGGGCCAAACUCGUACGGGAGGGAGCAGUGAGGAAUAUUGGUCAAUGGGCGAAAGCCUGAACCAGCCAAGUAGCGUGCAGGAUGACGGCCCUAUGGGUUGUAAACUGCUUUUAUACAGGAAUAAAGUUAGCCACGUGUGGUUAUUUGUAGGUACUGUACGAAUAAGGACCGGCUAAUUCCGUGCCAGCCGCCGCCGUAA
rnacentral:rRNA from 1 species